AGUGAACGCUGGCGGUAGGCCUAACACAUGCAAGUCGAACGGCAGCACAGUAAGAGCUUGCUCUUACGGGUGGCGAGUGGCGGACGGGUGAGGAAUACAUCGGAAUCUACUUUUUCGUGGGGGAUAUCGUAGGGCAACUUAUGCUAAUACCGCAUACGACCUACGGGUGAUAGCAGGGGAUCUUCGGACCUUGCGCGAUUGAAUGAGCCGCUGUCGGAUUAGCUAGUUGGCGGGGUAAAGGCCCACCAAGGCGACGACGCGUAGCUGGUCUGAGAGGAUGAUCAGCCACACUGGAACUGAGACACGGUCCAGACUCCUACGGGAGGCAGCAGUGGGGAAUAUUGGACAAUGGGCGCAAGCCUGAUCGAGCAAUGCCGGGUGGGUGAUGAAGGCCUUCGGGUCGUAAAUCCCUUUUGUUAGGAAAGAAAAGCAGCAGGUUAAUACCCCGCUGUUCUGACGGUACCUAAAGAGUAAGCACCGGCUAACUACGUG
rnacentral:rRNA from 1 species